rnacentral:lncRNA from 1 species
AUGCUGAAUUAUACAACAGAGGCAUCUGCCAUUGUUUCAGAAGUUUUUUGUUUCUUGUUUUUUUUUUUUUUUAAUCCAACACAGAUUUACCUAGAAGGGAUGGAAGGAUCCUUUAUCAGUCUCCCACAACCACAUUACCAUGGAUCAAGUUCAUUAAUUUUGCAAAUUAUGAUCAAAGAUCAAAGCUUAGAAACUGAUCCUGAGGAAAUCCAGAACUGGAAGAUUUCUGCAGGACCCAGCAAACCGACAAUUUCGGCGCGAGGAGCUAACAAUGCGAAUGGGCUUUUUUCUCCCUUAAAAUUUCCCGACCGUCGGUGGACACGUAUUUGCUUGGAGAACCAGAAUUCCGUUCCGGGCGGUGAGGAGGCAGCCUCUCCUGCCCCAAGAGACGGCCACACGGUUUUGCGGAAUUUGACAGACGACCUCGAUCUUCGGGGAUUUUCCGAGCAGGACGCGGGCGCCGAAGAGGAGGGAAAGUGCAUACUGCCCAUGUGACGCACCUUCGCCUUCAGGUCCCAGAAGCGCAGUGCCGCUGCAGUCCUUGCCGAUCCUCCACCACUAGUUUUCCUCCCAAAGACCUGAUGAAAACCACCGAGUUCUGGGAGGCACGCUUCGAAAAUUGUUGGUUUUUCUUUUUUUAAAAAUCGGCUUUUACCAUUUUAUAAGUGUGCUGACAAUCUUUUCGGAGUCACCACUACUUACGGCUCACCCAUUUGCCAACCUUUCCCUACAGUUCAUUCCCGUGCUUUUCCAACCCUCCCAGGUUUGGUUCCACUCAAAGGAGAAAAGCGAGAGCAACAGUUUGGUCGCCCAUCAGCCCGUCCGUCUCCCGGGCACAAACGACCCGGGGCUUCGGCUCUCCGUCGGCCCGCAGGAGGACGCGCGUACGAGGGGCCGGCCCGGGACACCGGUCGCGGCCCGAGGGCCACCGGCCAAGGUUCCCUCGCCUGGCCCGGCCGCGGCGCGUAGCCUCCCCACAGGCCCGGGCGCCCGGCCGGGCGCAUGCGCGCGGCGCUCCCGGGCGUGCCGGCCACACUCCCCCCACCCACUCGGAGAGCUUGUCACUUCCUGCCCUCGCCCCAUCUCCGUCCGGGGUCAGUCAGUCGCUCCCUGUCGCUGCGGGAGUCUCUGCUUCCCCCUUCCUACCCGCUCCGCGGCGGUAGCUGAGGCUCUUCGGGGAGGGGGAGACGGAGAGAGAGAGAGAGACUGACUUAAUAAAGUUUCCUGAAACAACA